UAAAGAGCUCGUAGGUGGUUUGUCGCGUUGUUCGUGAAAUCUCACGGCUUAACUGUGAGCGUGCGGGCGAUACGGGCAGACUUGAGUACUGCAGGGGAGACUGGAAUUCCUGGUGUAGCGGUGGAAUGCGCAGAUAUCAGGAGGAACACCGGUGGCGAAGGCGGGUCUCUGGGCAGUAACUGACGCUGAGGAGCGAAAGCGUGGGGAGCGAACAGGAUUAGAUACCCUGGUAGUCCACGCCGUAAACGGUGGGUACUAGGUGUGGGUUUCCUUCCUUGGGAUCCGUGCCGUAGCUAACGCAUUAAGUACCCCGCCUGGGGAGUACGGCCGCAAGGCUAAAACUCAAAGAAAUUGACGGGGGCCCGCACAAGCGGCGGAGCAUGUGGAUUAAUUCGAUGCAACGCGAAGAACCUUACCUGGGUUUGACAUGCACAGGACGCCGGCAGAGAUGUCGGUUCCCUUGUGGGCCUGUGUGCAGGUGGUGCAUGGCUGUCGUCAGCUCGUGUCGUGAGAUGUUGGGUUAAGUCCCGCAACGAGCGCAACCCUUGUCUCAUGUUGCCAGCGGGUAAUGCCGGGGACUCGUGAGAGACUGCCGGGGUCAACUCGGAGGAAGGUGGGGAUGACGUCAAGUCAUCAUGCCCCUUAUGUCCAGGGCUUCACACAUGCUACAAUGGCCGGUACAAAGGGCUGCGAUGCCGCGAGGUUAAGCGAAUCCUUUUAAAGCCGGUCUCAGUUCGGAUCGGGGUCUGCAACUCGACCCCGUGAAGUCGGAGUCGCUAGUAAUCGCA
rnacentral:rRNA from 1 species